rnacentral:rRNA from 1 species
UACAGAGGUGGCAAGCGUUGUUCGGAAUUACUGGGCGUAAAGGGCGAGUAGGCGGCUUUUUAAGUCAGACGUGAAAUCCCCCGGCUUAACCUGGGAACUGCGUCUGAUACUGGAAGGCUUGAGUAUGGGAGAGGAAUGUGGAAUUCCAGGUGUAGCGGUGAAAUGCGUAGAUAUCUGGAGGAACACCGGUGGCGAAGGCGGCAUCCUGGACCAACACUGACACUGAAAAGCGAAAGCCAGGGGAGCAAACGGG